UGGGCUCCAGCCCUGAUGCAGAGGUACAAAGCUCGUCUGGGCAGAUUGUUAUGCAAAUCAAAAGAGGAAGCAGAGCUAGGGGAGCCGAGGAGCUCCUGCUGGGCUCUGCCAGGGAAGAAGCCGCAGUAGGAGCCCCUACGUAGGCCCUGCAAGAGGCCUGGCGUUCAGGAAAGGGCCCGCUGACCAUCCAGUGCAGGGAAAGGAGUCCAGCUCUGGCCUCUGCCCCUCAGCUCCACCUCCUGCAUUCCUAGGAGUUCUCCAGAGGAUCUGAUGGGAGCUCAGAACCGGUCCCAACAGCUCCCUCCACCCUUCAUGAACGGGGGCUGGAAAAUGUGGUCUGCUCUGAUAAGGAUUUGCGUCAGGCUACUGGCUACUCAGCAGCCGAGAAGAGCAAGCCUCCAGGCCUCUGCACGCGUGCCUUCUGCCCGGUGAGCCUCUCACUAUCGUCCUUCUAAAAGACACUUCAAAAAGAGGCAAAAUCAUGCCUUCCAUACAUAUAUUAAAAAAAGAAUAUGUGUCAAAUAUUUUAUUCUACUCCUAAACCAAUUUAAGGAAACCAGGCAGAUGUUACAACUGGUUCAAAUGAAAUCCUAAGAACAGACACAUUUAAUAAUCAGGAAUAUGGAAAAGAACAUGCAAAUGGGAGCUGGGCACAGCGGCUCAUGCCUGUAAUUCCAGCACUUUGGGAGGCCGAGGUGGGUGGAUCACCUGAGGUCAGGAGUUCGAGACCAGCCUGGCCAACAUGGUAAAACCCCGUCUCCACCAAA
rnacentral:lncRNA from 1 species